rnacentral:rRNA from 1 species
UGGGGAAUCUUGCGCAAUGGGCGAAAGCCUGACGCAGCCAUGCCGCGUGAAUGAUGAAGGUCUUAGGAUUGUAAAAUUCUUUCAGCGGGGACGAUAAUGACGGUACCCGCAGAAGAAGCCCCGGCUAACUUCGUGCCAGCAGCCGCGGUAAUACGAAGGGGGCUAGCGUUGCUCGGAUUUACUGGGCGUAAAGGGAGCGUAGGCGGAACGACAAGUCAGGGGUGAAAGCCCGGGGCUCAACCUCGGAAUUGCCCUUGAGACUGUCGAUCUAGAGUUUGGGAGAGGUGUGUGGAACUCCGAGUGUAGAGGUGAAAUUCGUAGAUAUUCGGAAGAACACCAGUGGCGAAGGCGACACACUGGCCCAAUACUGACGCUGAGGCUCGAAAGCGUGGGGAGCAAA